rnacentral:lncRNA from 1 species
UAGAUAAAAAUUAAAAAAUAAAAAUUUUUAUUUUUUGUAAGAUAUGAAAAGAGAAACCUAACAAGUAAAUUACACUACAACAGAAUUAGAUUAUAGAGACACAUGUUUGGGACACUUUUGAGUAAGUGUCCCAUUUAUGCUAAAACUUAAAAAAAUAUCUACUUAUGCCUAAAUAUAAAGCCCAAUCCAACCAAAAAUAAAAGAUUACUCUACUCAACCCACCACACACAGUCCAUUCGAUCCGAUUACAAAUAGAAAAGAAAAAAAAAAAGAAAAAUCAAUUACCAUCUUUUCUUCUCUUUUCACUCAAUCUACUGAAAUUCUAGACGAAGAGCCUUUUCUGUCGUCCUCCUCCGCCACCGCAGCCAACGAGAUAGAGUUUCGGCGGUUGCUAAAUGCUUAAAUAAGUGUUGGUAAAUUAGCAGCAUACUUUUAGGUUAUAGCGACACUCUUUAACUGUCACUAUAUACCUAGCGACCCCACAUAUAGCAACACUUUUUAAAAGUGUCGGUAAUUUUAGCUAGCAGCACUUUUUUGAUAUGUACCUAUAUUUAAAAGUGUCGCUAUAGACCGUUUUGAUUGUAGUGUUAGUUUCUAAACUAUUUCUGGAAAACCAAAUGUG